rnacentral:ribozyme from 1 species
AAAAGUACACACCCAAAAGAGAAACAGAGAGAGAGAGAAGAGAAGAAAACCAACACGACAGAAAUACAAUGCCGAACUUUUUUUGUGGAUAGAUUUCACACUUUUUGAAGUUGGAUCUUUCACACCCAUUUUUUUUAGAUGUUUUGUUGUUAUUCACUCCCGAAUUCAGAGAGAGAGAGAGAGAGUGGAAGAAAGGAGAUAG